AUCCCAUGAUGAGGACAGGCGGUGACGUAUUCCUGCAAUCUUUCUCAUGCCUUCGGGAUCAUCUCAUCUCUUGUCUGCUGGAAGCUGGAUAUUCUUCCACGCAGGGC
rnacentral:snoRNA from 1 species